GAGGCCAUACCAUGCUGAAUAUACCGGUUCUCGUUAGAUCACCGAAGUUAAGCAUCAUUGGGCGCGGUCAGUACUUGGGUGGGUGACCACCUGGGAACAACA
rnacentral:rRNA from 1 species